rnacentral:rRNA from 1 species
GCAUAUGGCCUUACCCCUGUGAACACACCUGAUCUCCUCUGAUCUCUGAAGCUAACAGGUUGGGCCUGGUUAGUACUUGGAUGGGAAACCACUUGGGAAUACUGGGUGCUGUAGCCU